rnacentral:misc_RNA from 1 species
AACCAUUCUCACCUGCGGCUAGACCUGCGGAAGGAUCAUUAAAAAGAGUGUGUACCCCUCUGUAAAAUGAGUGGGUUACCUCCCGUCCUUUGUUGACCCCUUAGGAGGUUAUUUUGAACUUUCUGCUUCGGUGGGGUUAAACCUACCGGAACACCCUCAAAUUCUUAUCAUUUAAAAAUUGUUCAGUCUGAUUUUUGUUAAUAAAAACAAAAAACUUUUAACAAUGGAUCUCAGAUCGGA